rfam:Glossina brevipalpis unplaced genomic scaffold Scaffold220, whole genome shotgun sequence.
GGAUAGGCUUAGUACGUAAGCGUCAUGGGUGAUGAAUCGUGUUUGCUAUUGGUACCGGCCUAUAAUAUCUUUGGAAGAUUUCUACC